rnacentral:rRNA from 1 species
AAUAGAUACCCCGGUAGUCCACGCCGUAAACGAUGAGUGCUAGGUGUUAGGGGGGUCCAACCCCUUAGUGCUGAAGUUAACACAUUAAGCACUCCGCCUGGGGAGUACGACCGCAAGGUUGAAACUCAAAGGAAUUGACGGGGGCCCGCACAAGCAGUGGAGCAUGUGGUUUAAUUCGAAGCAACGCGAAGAACCUUACCAGGUCUUGACAUCCUCUGACAACCCUAAAGAUAGGGCGUUCCCCUUCGGGGGACAGAGUGACAGGUGGUGCAUGGUUGUCGUCAGCUCGUGUCGUGAGAUGUUGGGUUAAGUCCCGCAACGAGCGCAACCCUUGAUGUUAGUUGCCAGCAUUCAGUUGGGCACUCUAACGUGACUGCCGGUGACAAACCGGAGGAAGGUGGGGAUGACGUCAAAUCAUCAUGCCCCUUAUGACCUGGGCUACACACGUGCUACAAUGGAUGGUACAAAGGGUUGCAAGACCGCGAGGUCAAGCCAAUCCCGAUAAAACCAUUCUCAGUUCGGAUUGUAGGCUGCAACUCGCCUAC